rnacentral:lncRNA from 1 species
GUGGAGGGUCCUACAGGUCCUAUGGCUGGGUGGAGGGUCCUACAGGUCCUAUGGCUGGGUGGAGGGUCUUACAGGCCCUAUGGCUGGGUGGAGGGUCCUACAGGUCCUAUGGCUGGGUGGAGGGUCCUACAGGUCCUAUGGCUGGGUGGAGGGUCUUACAGGUCCUAUGGCUGGGUGGAGGGUCCUACAGGUCCUAUGGCUGGGUGGAGGGUCCUACAGGUCCUAUGGCUGGGUGGAGGGUCCUACAGGUCCUAUGGCUGGGUGGAGGGUCUUACAGGUCCUAUGGCUGGGUGGAGGGUCUUACAGGCCCUAUGGCUGGGUGGAGGGUCCUACAGGUCCUAUGGCUGGGUGGAGGGUCCUACAGGUCCUAUGGCUGGGUGGAGGGUUUUACAGGUCCUAUGGCUGGGUGGAGGGUCCUACAGGUCCUAUGGCUGGGUGGAGGGUCCUACAGGUCCUAUGGCUGCGUGGAGGGUCUUACAGGUCCUAUGGCUGGGUGGAGGGUCCUACAGGUCCUAUAGCUGGGUGGAGGGUCCUACAGGUCCUAUGGCUGGGUGGAGGGUCUUACAGGUCCUAUGGCUGGGUGGAGGGUCUUACAGGUCCUAUGGCUGGGUGGAGGUUCUUACAGGCCCUAUGGCUGGGUGGAGGUUCUUACAGGCCCUAUGGCUGGGUGGAGGGUUUUACAGGUCCUAUGGCUGGGUGGAGGGUCCUACAGGUCCUAUGGCUGGGUGGAGGGU